rnacentral:tRNA from 1 species
GCCCUCUUAGUUUAAUAGUAAAACAGGGUCUUGGUAAGACUCAGCCACUGGAGCGUAACCAGUAGAGGGCACCA